GACGAACGCUGGCGGCGUGCUUAACACAUGCAAGUCGAACGCUGAAGCCCAGCUUGCUGGGUGGAUGAGUGGCGAACGGGUGAGUAACACGUGAGUAACCUGCCCCCUUCUUUGGGAUAACGCCCGGAAACGGGUGCUAAUACUGGAUAUUCACUGAUCUUCGCAUGGGGGUUGGUGGAAAGGUUUUUUCUGGUGGGGGAUGGGCUCGCGGCCUAUCAGCUUGUUGGUGGGGUGAUGGCCUACCAAGGCUUUGACGGGUAGCCGGCCUGAGAGGGUGACCGGUCACAUUGGGACUGAGAUACGGCCCAGACUCCUACGGGAGGCAGCAGUGGGGAAUAUUGCACAAUGGGCGAAAGCCUGAUGCAGCGACGCCGCGUGAGGGAUGACGGCCUUCGGGUUGUAAACCUCUUUCGCUCAUGGUCAAGCCGCAGCUUUGGGUUGUGGUGAGGGUAGUGGGUAAAGAAGCGCCGGCUAACUACGUGCCUGCAGCCGCGGUAAUACGUAGGGCGCGAGCGUUGUCCGGAAUUAUUGGGCGUAAAGGGCUUGUAGGCGGUUGGUCGCGUCUGCCGUGAAAUCCUCUGGCUUAACUGGGGGCGUGCGGUGGGUACGGGCUGACUUGAGUGCGGUAGGGGAGACUGGAACUCCUGGUGUAGCGGUGGAAUGCGCAGAUAUCAGGAAGAACACCGGUGGCGAAGGCGGGUCUCUGGGCCGUUACUGACGCUGAGGAGCGAAAGCGUGGGGAGCGAACAGG
rnacentral:rRNA from 1 species